rnacentral:rRNA from 1 species
UACGUAGGGUGCGAGCGUUAAUCGGAAUUACUGGGCGUAAAGCGUGCGCAGGCGGUUCUGCAAGUCAGAUGUGAAAUCCCCGGGCUUAACCUGGGAACUGCGUUUGAAACUACGGAGCUCGAGUGCGGCAGAGGGGGGUGGAAUUCCACGUGUAGCAGUGAAAUGCGUAGAUAUGUGGAGGAACACCGAUGGCGGAGGCAGCCCCUGGGCCGACACUGACGCUCAGGCACGAAAGCGUGGGGAGCAAACAGGAUUAGAAACCCGGGUAGU